CCUACGGGGGGCAGCAGUGAGGAAUAUUGGUCAAUGGGCUUACGCCUGAACCAGCCAAGUCGCGUGAGGGAAGACUGCCCUAUGGGUUGUAAACCUCUUUUGUCAGGGAGCAACGCCGGCUACGUGUAGCCGGACUGAGAGUACCUGAAGAAAAAGCAUCGGCUAACUCCGUGCCAGCAGCCGCGGUAAUACGGAGGAUGCGAGCGUUAUCCGGAUUGAUUGGGUUUAAAGGGUGCGUAGGCGGGAUGCCAAGUCAGCGGUAAAAUCGCGGGGCUCAACCUCGCUCCGCCGUUGAAACUGGCGUUCUUGAGUGGGCGAGAAGUAUGCGGAAUGCGUGGUGUAGCGGUGAAAUGCAUAGAUAUCACGCAGAACUCCGAUUGCGAAGGCAGCAUACCGGCGCCCAACUGACGCUGAAGCACGAAAGCGUGGGUAUCGAACAGGAUUAGAUACCCCUGUAGUC
rnacentral:rRNA from 1 species